rnacentral:rRNA from 1 species
GACGUAGGGGGCCAGCGUUGCUCGGAAUUACUGGGUGUAAAGGGUUCGUAGGCGGUGCGGCAAGUCGGGAGUGAAAUCUCUGGGCUCAACCCAGAGGCUGCUUCCGAAACUGCUGUGCUUGAGUGCGAGAGAGGUCAGUGGAAUUGCAGGUGUAGCGGUGAAAUGCGUAGAUAUCUGCAGGAACACCCGUGGCGAAGGCGGCUGACUGGAUCGCAACUGACACUGAGGAACGAAAGCUAGGGGAGCAAACAGG